UCUCUGAUGUAGGACUUCCAGCUCCACUGCGGAUUAAGAGCUCCGUUUUUGUAAGAUACCCCUUUCCCUCCCAACCCAAUCCCACCUCCUUUGCUUAGUUUGCUGGUGACAUCAUAAUAACCUUUGAAUCCUGCUACAAAGGACUAAGGCAAGUCCUUUCUUUCUUUCUUUUUUUUUUGUUUAAAUAGCACAUGGUUUUGUAAAGUUUUAUUUUUAAAUGUUAUACCCCAAUGGGUACAAAAUAAAAACUUCACAGAACUGCGCAACAUUGUAAGAAAUGGAACUUACCUGACCUCUAGAGGUCGGCUUCAUCAAAGAACAAAGGAAGGAGAUGCAUCAGCCUACAUUUGGAACACAGAUUUCUGUGGUAGAAAUCUAGACUUCUCCAUCACGACCCUCUUCAUCCCUAAAGAUUAUUAAAGCCUUGGAACUCAAACCUUGGACAUCCCUUCUGCCCCGGGACCCUGACCUCAGAGCAGAGGAUGGAGGGCUCCUUCCAGAACCUCCACUGAAGGAGGGUACCCUGGCCACCAUCUCUUCAUCUCCCACUAGGCCGAACUUCUCUGGACUGCUCCAUCACAGCCCUGCACCAGGUCAGAUUCUGGACUCAACUUAUCCUCAUCCUCCUUAUGCAUACAUUUGCAUAUUUGAGUAAAGAGAAGAGACAAGAGGAGAGAGAAGCCAUAUAAAAGCUUUGCUCAAUUAUUUAUAGGAUAGGUGACAUCCACACUCAGACAAGCAUGAAAAAUUGUGAAGCCCAAAACAAAAAAUGGUUAAACAAUGAAAGCUCCGUGAGGAUAGGAACUUCUUUGUUUUAUCUUCGCAUCCCCAUUACCCAGAGGAUAGGACUCAAAACCGUGCCAUGCGAGGAUCAUCUGAAGGUCUGCUUCCAUCCAUGAGAAAAUGUUCCCAAGUUCCUUGAAAACUCUGCUAUUCCUGACUCAUGCUUCCUAACUGGAACAGAAAACACUGUGUCCUUUGACUGGCUAGCCCCCGGGGAAGCAAUGACCCUGGAGGUAAAACUAGGUAGUCACAAAAAUAUCUGACAAGGGUUGUUCCCUUGGGGGGGGGGGAGAGAGGAAUCAGUGAUUCUGAGAAAUACUUUAUUUCCCCUAGCAAAAUGCAUUAUACCUUGCAGACACCCAAUACUGAAUAAAAUGAAA